rnacentral:rRNA from 1 species
UGAGUCGAACGCGUGGAGCGAUCCACGAGUGGCGCACGGGUGAGUAACGCGUGGGAACCUGCCCUGGAGUGUGGGAUAACCGAGGGAAACCUCGGCUAAUACCGCAUACGACCUGAGGGUGAAAGAUUCAUCGCUCUGGGAGGGGCCCGCGUCGGAUUAGCUAGUUGGUGAGGUAACGGCUCACCAAGGCGAUGAUCCGUAGCUGGUCUGAGAGGAUGAUCAGCCACACUGGGACUGAGACACGGCCCAGACUCCUACGGGAGGCAGCAGUGGGGAAUAUUGGACAAUGGGGGCAACCCUGAUCCAGCAAUGCCGCGUGAGUGAUGAAGGCCUUAGGGUUGUAAAGCUCUUUCGCCCGCGACGAUGAUGACGGUAGCGGGAGAGGAAGCCCCGGCUAACUUCGUGCCAGCAGCCGCGGUAAUACGAAGGGGGCGAGCGUUGUUCGGAAUUACUGGGCGUAAAGGGCGCGCAGGCGGCCUUUGAAGUCAGAUGUGAAAGCCCCGGGCUCAACCUGGGAAUGGCAUUUGAUACUCGAAGGCUGGAGUACGGGAGAGGAGAGUGGAAUUCCCAGUGUAGAGGUGAAAUUCGUAGAUAUUGGGAAGAACACCGGUGGCGAAGGCGGCUCUCUGGACCGUAACUGACGCUGAGGCGCGAAAGCGUGGGAGCAAACAGGAUUAGAUACCCUGGGUAGUCCACGCCGUAAACGAUGUGCGCUAGACGUUGGCGGACCUAGUCCGCCGGUGUCGCACUAACGCGAUAAGCGCACCGCCUGGGGAGUACGCCGCAAGGUUAAACUCGAAUUGAGGGGCCCGCACAACGGUGGACUGUGGUUCAUU